rnacentral:rRNA from 1 species
AAACUUGAGAGUUUGAUCCUGGCUCAGAACGAACGCUGGCGGUAUGCUUAACACAUGCAAGUUGAACGAACAAAACUGGAGCUUGCUUCAGUGGCGUGAGUGGCAAACGGGUGAGUAACACGUGGGAAUCUACCCAUCAGUACGGAAUAACAU